GACGAACGCUGGCGGAGUGCUUAACACAUGCAGGUCGAACGGUAAGGCCCUUCGGGGUACACGAGUGGCGAACGGGUGAGUAACACGUGGGUGAUCUGCCCUGCACUUCGGGAUAAGCCUGGGAAACUGGGUCUAAUACCGGAUAGGACCACUGCCUGCAUGGGUGGUGGUGGAAAGCUUUUGCGGUGUGGGAUGGGCCCGCGGCCUAUCAGCUUGUUGGUGGGGUGAUGGACUACCAAGGCGACGACGGGUAGCCGGCCUGAGAGGGUGACCGGCCACACUGGGGCUGAGGUACGGCCCAGCCUCCUACGGGAGGCAGCGGUGGGGAAUAUUGCACAAUGGGCGCAAGCCUGAUGCAGCGGCGCCGCGUGAGGGAUGACGGCCUUCGGGUUGUAAACCUCUUUCAGCACCGACGAAGCGCAAGUGACGGUAGGUGCAGAAGAAGGACCGGCCAACUACGUGCCAGCCGCCGCCGUAA
rnacentral:rRNA from 1 species